ACUUAUCUCUCUUUCUUUGUCUUACUAAUACAUGAGUUCAUUUUGUUUUUCCGGUUUAGUAGACCAAAAAAUAAUACUGAGGAGAGAGAUGGUAAUGAUAAGUAUUAUAUGGUUACGUGUUUAAUAGGCAGAGGCAUGAUGAAAGGAUGAAAAGGGGAGGUGAUAUCAAAAGUGUUUUUAGGCCUUUGCUGCAGAUUACUGGCCAUUUUUAAGAAAAACGAAGAACGAAGAAGCAAAAAUUGGUAAUAGAGGAGAUUAAAAAUUAAAGAGAAUAGUUGCUUCUUUCUUUUGUUGUGAUUUGUGAAAUCCAUUUUUUACUAAAAAUCUUCUAAAAUCACCCGUUAUAAUCUCUUUGAAUCUCAUCAAAUCACAAACAAAAUAUUUAACAAUUCCACCAAAUAUCCUUAAAACUCUCUUAAAAUCUCUCAAAAUCUCUAAUUUCCUAAAUUCCAUAAAAUCCCCCAAAAUCAUGGUUUGAAUACAUCCCCUGAUCAAUAUACUAUUUCCUAAAUAUUAAGGUGUUCUUCUCUCAUCAAUCUCUAUCACUAUCUCUCGUUGAGAUCUUGAUCUUGUAUCUGUAUUGUGUAUAUAUAUAUUCGUAUAUAUCUACACAUCAAUGGAAAGUAUCAAGUUCCAAACUCUUACACUUUCUUCCUUCUUUCGUCUGCUAUAAUCCAUAUUAUGUAUGUGACCUAAACUGUGACGAUUUUCAAUUUUGCUUAGGUACCAAUUUCAUAUAGAGAAGAAGAUAGAGCAAAAGAGGAACACGAAGCUCUGGCUGUGUGUCUCUCUUCGCGUGUUUCUAUCUUUAUUAUAAAUAUAAAAAGACAAGAUCUCUUCUCAUUUCAGGGUUUUUUUACUUAGGAUUAAGCUCCAAUGGCAAAUCGAAUGUUCGAGAACAAUAAAAAAAAAAAAAAAAAGCAAACCACAGCUGCUGCCCACGUAGAGUGGUUUAAAAAGAAGCACACGAAUGCUCUUUUUUAGAAGCUCUUUGAACAGUUUUGACUACUAGUCACAAUUGGACAAACACCAAUCUCAAAUACAUGUUGCAUCGACAAUGCACCCUUGCAGUGCCGAGGAAGAAGAUAGAAAAAUACCACAGGAGAUAAAUCCGGUUGAAGACUUCUUCUUGGAAAGGCUAUGAGACCAAUGCGCAGAGUAAGGGGAAAGUGGCUUUUGUAUAUGCUUAUCGAAUCCACCAGCUGCAUAUGUGCUCUCGCAUCUUUAUAUAUUUGUUUUCUUGAAUAUUGUAUAGGGUAUCAUCAGUAUUCCAACGGUACGGUAUGUGAAUCCGAGUAUUCGACAAAAUUUUACAGUGAAAAUGUCUUGUUAUGCGGAUCCUGAGAGGUUCAGGUUUGCGAACAUGCGGAGUGCUGUUGUGUGUGCAUUUUCAGACAGUUGUUUGGAUCUGUGACCAAAUUUGGUUACGUAGCACUAAGGUCAUCCCCAAUGGGGGGUUUUAAGA